GUUGACACAUCGGUUCUAACCCGAUCACCGAAGUUAAGCAACGUCGAGGCUGGACAAUACAAAGACGGGUGACCACUUGGGAAUACCAAGUGCUGUAAG